GAUGAAGAACGUAGCGAAAUGCGAUAAGUAAUGUGAAUUGCAGAAUUCAGUGAAUCAUCGAAUCUUUGAACGCACAUUGCGCCCCUUGGUAUUCCGAGGGGCAUGCCUGUUCGAGCGUCAUUAUAACCCCUCAAGCUCAGCUUGGUGUUGGGGCCUGCUGCACUGGCAGCCCUUAAAAUCAGUGGCGGCGCCGUCUGGCUCUAAGCGUAGUAUUUCUUCUCGCUAUGGAGUCCUGGUGGAUGCUUGCCAUCAACCCCCAAUUUUUCUAUGGUUGACCUCGGAUCAGGUAGGGAUACCCGCUGAACUUAAGCAUAUCAAUAAGCGGAGGA
rnacentral:misc_RNA from 1 species